rnacentral:rRNA from 1 species
GUGGUCCCACCUGACCCCAUACCGAACUCAGAAGUGAAACGCCGUAGCGCCGAUGGUAGUGUGGGGUCUCCCCAUGCGAGAGUAGGGAACUGCCAGGC